UACGGGGGGGGCAAGCGUUGUUCGGAAUUACUGGGCGUAAAGGGCGCGUAGGCGGUUUGCUAAGUUGAAUGUGAAAACUCUGGGCUUAACCCAGAGCCUGCAUUCAAUACUGGCAGGCUGGAGUUCUGGAGGGGAUAGCGGAAUUCCUGGUGUAGCGGUGAAAUGCGUAGAUAUCAGGAGGAACACCGGUGGCGAAGGCGGCUAUCUGGACAGAAAACUGACGCUGAGGCGCGAAAGCUAGGGGAGCAAACAGG
rnacentral:rRNA from 1 species